GUAUCAUUAGAUUUGGGGUGGAGUGGGGUAUCAUUAGAUUUGAGGUGGAGUGGGGUAUCAUUAGAUUUGAGGUGUCAUUAGAUUUGAGGUGGAGUGGGGUAUCAUUAGAUUUGAGGUGUCAUUAGAUUUGAGGUGGAGUGGGGUAUCAUUAGAUUUGAGGUGUCAUUAGAUUUGAGGUGGAGUGGGGUAUCAUUAGAUUUGAGGUGUCAUUAGAUUUGGGGUGGAGUGAGGUAUCAUUAGAUUUGGGGUGGUGUGAGGUGUCAUUAGAUUUGGGGUGGUGUGAGGUGUCAUUAGAUU